UCACGGACGGCGGCUCCAAGCA
rnacentral:miRNA from 1 species